GAUGAACGCUGGCGGCGUGCUUAACACAUGCAAGUCGAACGGAAAGGCUCAAGCUUGCUUGGGUACUCGAGUGGCGAACGGGUGAGUAACACGUGGGUGAUCUGCCCUGCACUUCGGGAUAAGCCUGGGAAACUGGGUCUAAUACCGGAUAGGACGAUGGUUUGGAUGCCAUUGUGGAAAGUUUUUUCGGUGUGGGAUGAGCUCGCGGCCUAUCAGCUUGUUGGUGGGGUAAUGGCCUACCAAGGCGUCGACGGGUAGCCGGCCUGAGAGGGUGUACGGCCACAUUGGGACUGAGAUACGGCCCAGACUCCUAUGGGAGGCAGCAGUGGGGAAUAUUGCACAAUGGGCGCAAGCCUGAUGCAGCGACGCCGCGUGGGGGAUGACGGCCUUCGGGUUGUAAACUCCUUUCGCUAGGGACGAAGCGUUUUUGUGACGGUACCUGGAGAAGAAGCACCGGCUAACUACGUG
rnacentral:rRNA from 1 species